AUUGAACGCUGGCGGCAUGCUUUACACAUGCAAGUCGAGCGGUAACAGGCCGCAAGGUGCUGACGAGUGGCGAACGGGUGAGUAAUGCAUCGGAACGUGCCCAGUCGUGGGGGAUAACGCAGCGAAAGCUGCGCUAAUACCGCAUACGAUCUAUGGAUGAAAGCGGGGGACCGUAAGGCCUCGCGCGAUUGGAGCGGCCGAUGUCGGAUUAGGUAGUUGGUGGGGUAAAGGCUCACCAAGCCAACGAUCUGUAGCUGGUCUGAGAGGACGACCAGCCACACUGGGACUGAGACACGGCCCAGACUCCUACGGGAGGCAGCAGUGGGGAAUUUUGGACAAUGGGCGCAAGCCUGAUCCAGCAAUGCCGCGUGCAGGAAGAAGGCCUUCGGGUUGUAAACUGCUUUUGUACGGAACGAAACGGUCCUGGUUAAUACCUGGGGCUAAUGACGGUACCGUAAGAAUAAGCACCGGCUAACUACGUGCCAGCAGCCGCAGUAAAAC
rnacentral:rRNA from 1 species